rnacentral:rRNA from 1 species
UGGGGAAUUUUGGACAAUGGGCGAAAGCCUGAUCCAGCAAUGCCGCGUGUGUGAAGAAGGCCUUCGGGUUGUAAAGCACUUUUGUCCGGAAAGAAAUCCUUGGGCUCUAAUACAGUCGGGGGAUGACGGUACCGGAAGAAUAAGCACCGGCUAACUACGUGCCAGCAGCCGCGGUAAUACGUAGGGUGCAAGCGUUAAUCGGAAUUACUGGGCGUAAAGCGUGCGCAGGCGGUUUGCUAAGACCGAUGUGAAAUCCCCGGGCNCAACCUGGGAACUGCAUUGGUGACUGGCAGGCUAGAGUAUGGCAGAGGGGGGUAGAAUUCCACGUGUAGCAGUGAAAUGCGUAGAGAUGUGGAGGAAUACCGAUGGCGAAGGCAGCCCCCUGGGCCAAUACUGACGCUCAUGCACGAAAGCGUGGGGAGCAAACAGGAUUAGAUACCCUGGUAGUCCACGCCCUAAACGAUGUCAACUAGUUGUUGGGGAUUCAUUUCCUUAGUAACGUAGCUAACGCGUGAAGUUUGACCGCCUGGGGAGUACGGUCGCAAGAUUAAAACUCAAAUUGAAUUGACGGGGUCAUAGCUGUUUCCU